CUGGAGCAUCACAAAUGCUCUGGCUACCUCUUGCCACCCCCACCUUCCUCACAAAUGCUGCUGCUCUCAAAAGCCACAGAAAGCUACUAAGCCCCAGGAAUCAACACACCAUAAAAAUUAGGAUUUUGUCUGCAGUGCCGUGUAUGUGACUAAGACGUGGCUUUUGAAGCACCUUCAUCUUCUUUCCCUAGAGAUUACUUCACAUUUGGAACAGUCCUGCUACAGAAAAUGAAGGCAAGUGGAUUGCAUCUGCUAGGUCAAGCUUCCCAUCCCCCAUCCCUGAAAAUCAGCAACCCAAAUGUCACUUGUCUGUGUUGGUUCUCACAGAAGGCAAACCGUA